AGCGAACGCUGGCGGCAGGCCUAACACAUGCAAGUCGAACGAACUCUUCGGAGUUAGUGGCGGACGGGUGAGUAACCCGUGGGAACGUGCCUUUUGGUUCGGAAUAACUCAGGGACACUUGUGCUAAUACCGAAUGUGCCCUUCGGGGGAAAGAUUUAUGGCCCUUAGAGCGGCCCGCGUCUGAUUAGCUAGUUGUGGAGGUAACGGCUCACCAAGGCGCCGAUCAGUAGCUGGUCUGAGAGGAAGACCAGCAACACUGGGACUGAGACACGGCCCAGACUCCUACGGGAGGGAGCAGUGGGGAAUCUUGCACAAUGGGGGAAAGGCUGACGCAGCCAUGCCGCGAGAAUGAUGAAGGUAUGAGGAUUGUAAAAUUCUUUCACCGGGGACGAUAAUGACGGUACCCGGAGAAGAAGCCCCGGCUAACUUCGUG
rnacentral:rRNA from 1 species